UGCACAUGGUUCGAGCGGGUCAGUAUGCUGGUCAUCCUCCUCAACUGUGUGACUUUAGGCAUGUAUCAGCCCUGUGAGAACAUCAACUGCUCAUCUGAGCGCUGUCAGGUCCUGCAGGCUUUUGACGCCUUCAUCUACAUCUUCUUUGCACUGGAGAUGGUGGUGAAGAUGCUGGCUCUGGGCAUCUUCGGGCAUCGCUGCUAUCUGGGAGACACCUGGAACAGACUGGACUUCUUCAUCGUGAUGGCAGGGGUGGUGGAGUAUUCACUGGAUGUGCAGGACAUCAAUCUGACGGCGAUCCGGACGGUGCGAGUCCUGCGGCCGCUCAAAGCCAUCAACAGAGUCCCCAGCAUGAGGAUCCUGGUGAACCUGCUGCUGGACACGCUGCCCAUGCUGGGGAAUGUGCUGCUGCUCUGCUUCUUCGUCUUCUUCAUCUUCGGCAUCAUCGGCGUUCAGCUGUGGGCGGGACUCCUGCGAAACCGCUGCUACCCGGAGGAGAACUUCACACUUUCCAGUGGCGUGUCUCUUCCGGCUCCAUACUACGCUCUGGAUGUGGAGGACGAGCGGCCCUUCAUCUGCUCUCUGCCGCAGGAUAAUGGCAUCAUGUCCUGCAGGGAUGUGCCGGCGCGCCGUCUGGCUGGACACCAGUGCUGUCUGGAUGUGGACGACCUGCUGCACCAUCAGACCCUGGGCAUCCUGCUCGAACCCAUGCACCAUCAGGUCCCGGGGAUCCUGCUCGAACCUGUGCCCAAUGCUAGCGCCAUCCCGCCCGGUCUGUGUGUGAACUGGCACCAGUACUACACUCGCUGCCAAACCGGACACAAAAACCCACACAAAGGAGCCAUCAACUUCGACAACAUCGGAUACGCCUGGAUCGUCAUCUUUCAGGUCAUUACUCUGGAGGGCUGGGUGGAGAUCAUGUAUUAUGUGAUGGAUGCUCACUCCUUCUACAACUUCCUGUAUUUUAUUCUGCUGAUUAUAGUGGGCUCGUUCUUCAUGAUAAACCUGUGUCUGGUGGUGAUCGCGACGCAGUUUUCGGAGACGAAGCAGCGCGAGCACAUGCUGAUGCAGCAGCAGAAAGCGGUCCGUGGCUCCUGCAGCACUCUCAGCUCCAUGGCGGAGGCUGGAAACUGCUACGAGGAGAUCUUCCAGCUGCUGUGCCACGUGCUGCGCAAGUGCCGCCGCCGCUGCCUCACACUGCUCUGCCGUACACACACACGGCGCAGCCAGAACACACACCAGAACCAGAGCAAAACCAACAUCAACGGCGGAGAGAAGAGCCGACAGACGCAGGAUGAGGCCACACCCACCGCCUCAGCAGCUAAUCAGGAGCCAGAGGAGGUGGCGGCCAAGGAAGCAGACAGCUGUGAGAAGGCGGAUGAGGAGGAGGGGGCGUGUCAGAGGCGGAGCCGAGAGCUUUGGAUGCAAACGAGGGUCAAACUGUGGGGGAUCGUGGAGAGCAAAUACUUCAACAGAGGAAUCAUGGUGGCCAUACUCAUCAACACCAUCAGCAUGGGGAUAGAGCACCACCAACAGCCAGAGGAGCUCACUAAUGUCCUGGAGAUCAGUAAUAUUGUCUUCACCAGUAUGUUUGCACUGGAGAUGAUCCUGAAGCUGACUGCAUUCGGCUGCUUUAAUUACCUGCGCAACCCCUACAACAUCUUCGACGGAGUCAUCGUCAUCAUCAGUGUGUGUGAGAUCGUGAGUCAGUCUGACGGUGGUCUGUCCAUCCUGCGCACGUUCCGGCUGCUGCGAGUGUUAAAGCUGGUGCGCUUUAUGCCGGCGCUGCGCAGACAACUGGUGGUGCUGAUGAAGACCAUGGACAACGUGGCCACUUUCUGCAUGCUGCUGAUGCUCUUCAUCUUCAUCUUCAGUAUUCUGGGAAUGCAUAUAUUUGGCUGUAAGUUCAGUCUGAAGAAUGAUUCUGGAGACACGGUUCCAGACCGCAAGAACUUUGACUCUCUGCUGUGGGCCAUCGUCACUGUGUUUCAGAUCCUGACGCAGGAGGACUGGAACGUGGUGCUGUAUAACGGUAUGGCCUCCACGUCUCCUCUGGCCGCUCUGUAUUUCGUGGCUCUGAUGACGUUCGGGAAUUAUGUGCUGUUUAAUCUGCUGGUGGCCAUAUUGGUGGAGGGCUUUCAGGCUGAGGGAGACGCCAAUCGCUCAUACUCUGAUGAUGAUGAUGAUGAUGGAGAUGAAGGAUCGUCCUGUAAUGGAAGUGAAAAGCACAAAGACUCGCUCACGUUCUCUGAUCCAAAACUGCCCUCGCUCACUCCUAACGGGCAUCUGGAGCUGGAGCCGCUGGCGGAGGAGAAACCCAGAACCAGCUUCUCUGAGCAGAACCACCGCAGACGCACAAUCUGCCUGGGCAGGAGAUCCUCCUCUCUGCGCCACAGCCGCAGUUCCCACUACCACAACUGGGGUCGUCCUCUUCCCCCUCAGGCAUCCUGGAGCCGCCGCAGCAGCUGGAACAGUGCGGGGCGCUCUGGCCGAGGUUUGAGGUCUGCAGGGGUCAUCGGGGGAAGUUUGAGGGUCCGCAGUGUCCACUCCCACCCCACGGAGCACCAGUCUCUGCUCCCACGGCCUUAUCUCCUGUCCCGCCUGGACCGCCGCGCAGUCUCUCUGGAUCUGCCAGAAAUAAUGCAGCGCCCCCCUCUGGCCAGAAAGAAGAGCGUGUCUGCUGAGCACCAGGACUGUAACGGGAAGACCCCAGGCCCUCAGGGGCCCUUGCUGGCAGAGAUCUAUCCUCAGCUCAACGCACGCAAAGACAAGAAGGACCUGGAGGAGGACACUGAAUACAGCCUGUGUUUCAGGAUCCAGAAGAUGAUGGAGGUUUAUCGGCCAGACUGGUGUGAGAAGAGAGAAAACUGGUCCAUUUACUUAUUUUCCCCUCAGAACAAGUUUCGUCUGAAGUGUCAGGCUGUCAUCGCUCAUAAACUCUUUGACUAUGUGGUUCUGGCGUUCAUCUUCCUCAACUGCAUCACAGUGGCUCUGGAAAGGCCCAGAAUCCAUCAGGGAAGCCUGGAGCGAGUCCUCCUCACCGUCUCCAACUAUGUGUUCACUGCCAUCUUUGUGGCCGAGAUGACGGCCAAGGUGGUGUCGAAGGGUCUGUAUCUGGGUGAGCGGGCGUAUCUGCGCAGCAGCUGGAAUAUUCUGGACGGGUUUCUGGUCUUUGUGUCUCUGGUUGACAUUGUGGUGUCGAUGACGGGUGGAGCCAAGAUUCUGGGGGUCCUGCGGGUGCUGAGGCUGCUGAGGACGCUUCGCCCACUCAGGGUGAUCAGUCGAGCUCCAGGGCUGAAGCUGGUGGUGGAGACUCUGAUCACGUCACUGAAGCCCAUCGGGAACAUCGUCCUCAUCUGCUGCGCUUUCUUCAUCAUCUUCGGCAUUCUGGGGGUUCAGCUCUUCAAAGGGAAGUUCUAUUACUGUGUUGGUCUGGAUGUGAGAAAUGUCACCAAUAAAUCCGACUGUCUCUCCGCCAAUUACCGCUGGGUUCAUCACAAGUACAACUUUGACAACCUGGGGCAGGCUCUGAUGUCUCUGUUUGUGUUGGCGUCUAAAGAUGGAUGGGUAAACAUCAUGUACCACGGGCUCGACGCCGUCGGGAUCGACCAGCAGCCGGUCAUCAACCACAACCCCUGGAUGCUGCUGUACUUCAUCUCGUUCCUGCUGAUCGUCAGCUUCUUCGUGCUCAACAUGUUUGUUGGUGUGGUGGUGGAGAACUUCCACAAGUGCCGUAAGCAUCAGGAGGUGGAGGAGGAGCGCCAGCGGGUGGCGAAGCGCCUCAAGCGCAUGGCCAAGAGGAGGCACAAGGCUCAGUUUGCCCCGUAUUACGCCUCAUACGGUCGUGUUCGUCUGAUGAUCCACUCGUUCUGCACCAGUCAUUAUCUGGACCUCUUCAUCACCCUCAUCAUCUGCGUUAAUGUGGUCACCAUGAGUCUAGAGCACUACGACCAACCACAGUCUCUGGAAACCGCACUGAAAUACUGCAAUUACUUCUUCAGCUGCACGUUUGUGAUCGAGGCCAUGCUGAAGCUGGUGGCGUUCGGCUUCAGACGCUUCUUUAAGGACAGGUGGAAUCAGCUGGAUCUGGCGAUUGUUCUGUUGUCUGUGAUGGGAAUCAUUCUGGAGGAGAUUGAAAUAAGCGCUUCACUUCCCAUCAAUCCCACCAUCAUCCGCAUCAUGAGGGUCCUGCGCAUCACCCGCGUUCUGAAGCUGUUAAAGAUGGCCACCGGGAUGCGGGCUCUGCUGGAUACUGUGGUGCAGGCUCUACCGCAGGUGGGGAAUCUGGGUUUGCUCUUUGUUCUACUCUUCUUCAUCUACGCUGCACUCGGUGUUGAGCUGUUUGGAGAGCUGGUGUGUAAUGAGGACUACCCGUGUGAAGGAAUGAGCCGGCACGCCACCUUUGAGAAUUUCGGCAUGGCGUUCCUCACACUCUUCCAGGUGUCCACCGGAGACAACUGGAACGGCAUCAUGAAGGAUACUCUGCGUGAGUGUCCGCCGGGUGACAGCUCCUCCUGUAACUCCAGCCUGCAGUUCAUCUCUCCGCUGUACUUCGUCAGUUUCGUGCUGACGGCGCAGUUCGUGCUGAUUAACGUGGUGGUGGCGGUGCUGAUGAAGCAUCUGGACGACUCCAAUAAAGAAGCGAUCGAGGACGCCGAGAUGGAGGAGGAGAUGGAGAAGGAGCGGGAGAAGGAGCUGGCGCAGGGCGGCCUCUGCUGUCUGGGUCGUUUGGACCGUUUGACCACGACUGAUGCGGGAGAGAAGAGCGGCUGUGGGAACAGACAGGCGGCGACAGCGGCGGUGCACAGCAACAACCAGAGCGCACACACACCGCACACUAACACACAACACACACUGCAGGAGAGGAGACUCUACUCACCCGCACAGGAGAACCAGUGGCUGGAGAGCGUCUCUCUGCUGAUGAAGGACUCUCUGGAUGGAGAAAUGCAGAUGAUUGAUAAUCUGUCCGGCUCGGUGUUCCACCAUUACUGCUCUCCACCAAUCAGACGAGGCGGCAGGAGCCAAUCAGGAGAGAUCCGGCUGGCAGAGGUGGAGCAGACGUCUCUGAUGUCAGAGCAGCUGUCUGAUAAAUCCUCUUCACCCGCUCUGCCUGAUGACAUCAGUCUGGACGAACACAGCGACUGUCAACUGCUGGACACGGGCUGGAAGGAGGAGCAGGGCAGCAGUGAGGCUUUGAGUCCACUGAUAGACAGACGGUCGACCCUUCAUCUCCAUUCUCCAGAUGGCAGUAGAGACGGUCAGACGUCUUCAUCUCUCUUCCAUCUUCCGGCUGAGUUCUUCCACCCCACCAGCGCUGCUUUCCCCCAGCGCCGCCCAGCACCCGGAGCAGCUCUGCCGGGAUCCAGACACACGUCUCCAGCCUCUUGGGCCUCGCUUCGGUCCCCGGGGGCCGACAGCAGAGUCAUGGGCUCUCAGGCGUCCUACAGUAAUUCCUCACUGGCCACAGGCAGUUCUGUGAGCAGCUUACAGGCCAUGCCAGAAGAAAGCGUUUCUGCAUCGGGAGAACAAACCGUGCCCAAAAUCUGCAGAUCCCACAUUCCCCAUCAGAAACCUCACGCUGUACAGUCUGUGUCCAUCCUCCAGUCCAGCAGGGGGCACCAGAGGAGUCGAAGCAGAAAUACUGACUGCGCAAACAGAAUCUCACAGGACUCCACAGAGCCCUCGGAUGACAAUCCCGAACAGUUGUCGGAUAACCUGAGCAGCUUUUCUCUGACAUCUCUGCACCCGCCUGACUCUCUGGCGCCACCGCUGGCCAAAAAGUGCAACAGCACCGGGAGUUUAGCGCAAAUGAGCCGGAAUAAAGGCGCAAAGUGCUUUUCUGGAUUUGAUCCCUGGAUUGAAACAACAAGUGAGGAAACUGAACGUGACGCUUCGCCGGUUGGUGCUAAAACCUGCAGCCAGACUGUGAGUUCCAGCUGUCGUCAGAACAGAUGAAAUGCAUGCGCAGUCGAAAAAACUCAUCUACAUGUUUCUCUCGAGUGACACAAACAGUCCCACAGCGCAGUGUCGUUUCUUCUUCAGGGCAUUACACUGGAUUCCUGGAGAUGCAGCAGCAGUCAUCAAGUAGCGUAGAAGGAUCUGGAAAAUAGGAACUAAUCUGUUUAGUUAAAAAUAAAAAGACUAUUAUUAACCCCACCAGCGUGAAUGUGUAGCGUUUAGUCAGGGCUGGACGAUUAAUCAAACUGUGAUUGAGAAAAGCUGCGAUUGUCAUGCACAUAUCAUCAAGGAAACAGGUGUGAUUUGUAGUAAUUCUCCUCAUGAAAGCCAAAGGGCGCUCUAGCGAAAGUUACCUUAGAAAGUAAUGCAUUAUGAUAUCCCCAAAAAAGUAUUUAGUUGCAUUACCUGGUAAAUUUUUAAGGUAAUUAAUGCAUUGCAAUAUUAAUUUAUUCUCCAAAAACAUAACUAGUAGUGUUAAUUAGUUACUUUUUACACUAAUUAAUGCAUUGCAAUAUUAGAUUACUCCUCAAAAAAGUAACUAGUUGCAAUGCUUAGUUACUUUGUAUGGUAAGUAAUGCAUUGCAAUAUUGAGUUACUCCCCCAAAAAGUAACUAGUUGUGUUAAUUAGUUACUUUUUAUAGUAAUUAAUGCGUUACAAUAUUAAUUUACCCCCCAAAAACAUAACUAAUUGUCCUAAUAAGUUACUUUUAUGGUAAUUAAUGUUACAAUAUUAAUUUACUCUCCAAAAACAUAACUAGUUGUGCCAAUUAGUUACUUUUUAUACUAAUUAAUGCAUUACAAUAUUAGAUUACUCCUCAAAGUAACUAGUUGUGAUUCUUAGUUACUUUUUAUUAUAUUUUAUGCAUUACAGUAUUAAGUUACUUGCCCAAAACAUAACUAGUUGCGAUACUUAUUUACUUUUUAUGGUAAUUAAUGCCUUGCAUUACUUCUGAGUUACAGUACCUUUUCUGACAAGGCUGAGGUUUGAUCUCUUUCGGAGCUUGUCUCCAUGGAGAUCUUCUUGCUUUCUGUCUCAUUCUCUCAUCGAGUGGAGGAUUCAGCAUUUAUUUUUUUUAAAGCUGAUUAAUUUAACUAAACUCAGUCACAUUGCAUUUUAAAAAAGUAACUCCAACAUUAAACUCCAUUUAAUGCAUUACUUGUAUUAGAAAAGUAAUAUCAGUACGCAGCUCAUGUUACUUGUAAUGCAUCACCCUCAACACUGCCUUCGACUCUGCUCCAUCUAAACACACGUGUGCUGGAGAAUUACUAGAGCUGGCUUUACUGAUGACUUGCUCAUGAACAUCGCCUCUAUUCACUCGUCCAGUCCUCUGUGUAGAUGACCAUGGGCCUGUAGCAUGAGAUGUGUUCUGACACAGAAAGGAGCUGUGUGCUGUUGGGUUUGUGUCAUGUCCAGAUUACGGCUGAUAUCAUUAGUACUGUCCAACAUACAAUCCUGAGAGAACUGAAGAGGAGUGUGUUAAACACUGUCGAGUUUCUCUGAAUGGUGCUUUGAGACUUGUGCUGGGAGCUAUGAUGUACAGCGCAUACCAGAUCCAACAUCGAGGACAAAUUCAACAGUAUGACCAUUACAAAUGAAUGUGUGUGUGUGUGUGCGUGUGUGUGGGAAUGAAGUCCAGAUGCAAGUUUAUACUGGCCAGUCUCAUAUUUGUCAUAGGUGCCGUUAGGGGGGGUAAGUUAGGACGAUUCUUAGGACUCACACUGUUUUGGGGCCCCCAAGUUACUAUGAAGGGGGCCCAAUCAAGCACCCCAAGCCCUCCCCAGACCCGUUGCUGUGACAUCCCCCCCGCGUCCCUUCCCGCCCAACCCCAGUACUCACUUUCAUCUGCGAAAUGUCUAUUACUUAAAAAGUCUAUACUCAAGCCACAGUUAAACACACACACACACACACACACACACACAUGCACACACACACACACACACACACACACAUUUCCAUGAACAAACUCAUACCUUCUGGCAGUGUGUCAGAGGUAUGCACACACACUCAUGGAUCUGAAUAUGUGAAAGUGAGUGUGUGUGGACGUGUUGAUGGUGUUUUGGUGCAGUAAUUCUGACAUGACGUUACAGCAGCGGCAUCUUUCACCUUUCCUGAUGUAGGAGGACUGAGCUUUAGCAGCCGCCCACUGAUCAUUACUGCUGCUCACUGUGUGUGUGUGUGUGUGUGUGUGUGUGUGUGAGAGAGGUGCUGGAUAACAACACUGACUGACUGUGGAAACACACACACACACACAUAUAUACACACUCUCUCUCACUUGUACCACUCCAACACACAUGCAAACAGACACACACACUGGCUCUCACACACAUGCCUAUGUACACACACACACACUCCAGCAUGUUCAGUCUGGAUGUGAGUGUGUGGAUGUGUGCUGUGUUCAGUUCAGACUCUAUGAGGAGCCCUGUGUAGAUGUGGAGCUCGGUCACUGGGGUUUGGGUCAGGGCUGAUGUUUGUUUCUGGUCAGAUGAUGUCACUGCUCUGUGAAGAUGGCUGAAGAUCAUUUCUUUGUAAAGUGUCAGCUCACGUUUCAUUCCUCUAGCGGCGUAAUAUUACGUCUCUGUCUUCCACUCUGCAUUUUGUACAAACGUCUCCUGAAAAACACAAGUUACUGUGCUUCUCUGGGAGGAUGGAGUGUGAUAUGAGCCAGAACAGACUCAGAAAUAAAGUUCAUACAUGUACA